CGUUCUCGCCGGAUGUAGGAACCGACCCGGGGACCGCCGGGGCAACCCGGCGCCCCCGAGACGGGGCGAACCACGGUGAAAUGACGGAUCGUCGGCCCCGCGCCGGCGACUCGCCGAAUGAGUUUCUGACCUAUCAACUCGAGACGGCGGGGUAGAGGCCCGCCGCGGUAACGACGGGUAACGGGGAAUCAGGGUUCGAUUCCGGAGAGGGAGCCCGAGAAACGGCUACCACUUCCAAGGAAGGCAGCAGGCGCGCAACUUACCCUAAUCUCGAUUCGAGGAGGUAGUGACAAAAAAUAACAAUACCUGGCCUCAAUAGGUCGGGUAAUUGGAAUGAGUACAAUUUAAAUCCCUUAACGAGGAUCAAUUGGAGGGCAAGUCUGGUGCCAGCAGCCGCGGUAAUUCCAGCUCCAAGAGCAUAUAUUAAAGUUGUUGCAGUUAAAAAGCUCGUAGUUGA
rnacentral:rRNA from 1 species